AGCAUUUCCUAUUACUAGGGUGGUUUUAAUGUACCUCACAAAUUACACCAGGGGGUGUAGUUUCAUUUCCCGCCCCUUGAGUGUGGGCAGGACUUUCACAAACAUAAAAAAAGGAAAAGAAAAAAAUAGUCACUAGACAGUGGAAAAACCUGGCAGAUGUCGCCCAGACCAAAAGGUGAAGGUCAGCCUCCUAGGAAUGAGUCACGUGGGUGUCAUGCCUGCUUUGAUGUGGAGUGAUAAGUGAGACCGUUCACCUCUGUGCUGUUCCUCCGAAAACCGGUAACUGUGAUCCAAUCAGAGAAAACCUCAAGCCAACUCAGCUGGAGGAAAAUCCUGCGAAACAGCUGGCCAGUACUCGUCAAAAGUAUCAAGGUUAGAAAAGACAAAAGAAGACGGAGGAGCUGUCGCAGGCUGGAGGAGAGACGGGAGUCCUGACAAGUUAGUGAAAUAUUUGACCAAUGGGCCGUGUUGAUACAAGAUCUUGACAUGAAAAAAGUAUGUAUGGAAACUCUAUCCUUGUAACUUUUCUGUCUGUCCAACGUUAUUUCAACACAGAAAGUUAGAAAAAUGACCUUAAGCUCAAGCUCUCCGUUUUUCUUUACUUUUUUCUUUCAUCCAACUGAGCUGGUUCCAGUGCGAGCCCUGCAUCGUCUCCUCUCUGGCUUCCCCUUCCAAACUUCUUCCUCACCCACCAUGGGCAUUUCGGCCUCUAUCUGGGGCUCUGUGAGCACUAAUCUUCCAUGCAUGCGGAGCUUCUAGCUCCCUCCACACCCCCUGCACAACCCAUCUCCACAAAGGGGGAAGGAAUACGGCCUAGAUAAAACCUCUAGAGUCUUCCUCUCACUGCAUGAACCGCCCUCCCCACUUGCUGGGCUUCACUCUGGACACUCUUGCUGUGCCCCAGGGCCUUCCUGGCUGCUCCUUUGCUCCUCCUGGACAGCCUUUGGCAUCAGCUCCGGGCUCCAGGGCCUCUUUCUGCAGGCUCCUCGGUGCUCUUUCCCUCCUGUAAUUCCUGGUCAUCGUGUUCACAGAUAUGUUCAUUUCUUAUUCCUGUGUCCCACCCAAACCCCCAAGCUUCAUGACUCCAGGUUGAGGCCCAUUUUUUUCAUCAGUGCCCCUCACCCACCUCCUGGAAGGACCUGGAAGAGUGCUUGGCACAACAGGGACACUCACAAGUGUGUUGAGAGGAUGAAUGGCAGCGUGUAGGGCUGGGGAGGAGGCUGGCGCGCUCUCACAGUCUCUCUCCUGCAGGAAGUGGGUGCUUCCUGGGAGAAGCCUUCCAGGCUCUACUGCAAGAAUUCCUUUGAUGGUGAGGACCAGGGAAGCAGCCAAGAAAAGUGGAGAAAAUGUAUGUGGGGGAUGUAUAACGUGUGUGUGUGGUGCAUAUGCAUAUGCGUGUGUAUAGGUGUGCAUAGUAUUGUGUGGUACGUGUAUGAUGUGUGUAGUGCGGUGUGUGUGCAUGUAUGUGCGUGGUGCGUGUAGCGCAGUAUGUGUGCAUGUGUGUGUAUGUGUGUGUAUAGGUGUGUGUAACAUUGUGUAGUGUGUGUAUGAUGUGUGUAGUGUGGUGUGUGUGCAUAUCCGUGCAUAUAUGUGUGUGGUGUUGUGUGGUGUGUGUGUGCAUAUGUGUGUGUGGUAUGUGGUAUGUGUGCAUAUCCAUGGGUAGUGUGAGUGUGUGGUGUGUGUGAUACAGUGUGUGUACAUAUGCACGCAGAAGUCUUUGACUUGGAACCAGUCAAAGAAGAGUUAAUAAGAGAAAUUCAAAGAGCUAUGGCCUCCCCCAGCCCCCUGAGACCUCUAAUAAAAGGCCAUGCUGGCCUUGCAGGUGAGCAAACAGACACCACCAAGCUCCAGUGAGGCAGGCAUUUUGGUGCCCCACUUCCAGCUGGACCUGAUGUCACUCAGCCAGGGGUGAGGCACUUAGGCAUGGCCCGAAGCAAGGGCAGGAGAGGAUAAACAGGCCGGCCAUCUGUACCAUUCGAAGGAGCACUCACCACACAGCCUAUUUGGAGGGGAAAGGGCUGAGGACAUCCAGAUACAAUCGCUUUUCUCAGGCAUGCUGAUAAACUGUGUCCUGCUCAUUAAUUGCAAACUGACUUCGUGGAAUGCGAUGGAUAGCUGAGCACUUGGGUUAAUCAAAAGAUAAUACAGCGACUGAAUGUGUUGGCCACUUUUAAAAGUUUAGAAAAGUAAAAUGAUGUUUAUACUGAACAAUAUCUUGAUGAUAACUCAAUCAUUUUGUCAUUUAGAAGUGUGCUCACACCUUGUAGUGGCAGAAGUACGUUAUUUUGAAUGUCAUGCACAAAGACUAGCAAAAACUUCAGGGUAGGUGGGAGGGCACAAUACUUUAACUAUGAAGUACCCAGAAGAGCAAUGCUUUAGCAAAACAAGUUAAAAGAGUACAGUUCAUUACUUGCAAAUAAAAUAUUGCUUUGAUAUUACCUCCUUCAAAGCAGAAAGCCCAAUUCUCAAGAAGAACAAGUAUUUUUCCGUUUUAAAAGCAGAAUUCAAAAAAUAGAAAGGUGUUGUGUUUCCAUAUUUGAAAGUUCUUGCACCCAUUUCAGAAAUAAGUGUAUCUUGCUCUUCCUACUCUAACUGAAACAGCUUUUUAAAGAAAAAUAGUAGAAGGAGACAAACACAGUCAAAUCUCUGAAUGACUCCCUUCAUUUUAAUGAGGACACAUGAAGAUGGCUCCCCAGGGGCCCCCUCCUUGCCUGCCCCAUGUUCCUAUGAUAACCUGGGCUUUGUGUGAUUGAAACCUUGGACCCUUGAGACGUUAGUUUUGAUGGUGGUAUUUCUGUUGCCAUUAGCAAGGGAAUUUAGAAAUCCAUGAACACGAUGCAAGAAAGAGAGCGCCAGCAUACGCGGAGCUCCGCUGCUGCCUCUGAGAGAGGCUGGUGUUUCAGGAGGAACUCAGACUCAUACCCCUUUACCCCCAUCUUCCAACACGAGGAUCCCUUUGCACACUCACCCUGCUGUCUAAAGGUAGCGCCCUCAAAUACUGUACAUGCACACCGGUUGAGAAGGCCAAGUACCCCUUUUGUUUCUGUCUUGCUUUGCAAGGAUUGAAAAUUCUCCCUCCCUGAGCAAUACAGCAGUCAUCUUCAAAAGUAGGACAGAUCUCAGUUGGGAAGCUCUGUUUCUGGGACACUGCCCUGAGGGUGUUUGUGAAUGUGGUCGCCCUGUGAGGAGAACUGCAGCCGCCAGCAGGGACAGCUUCAGCGGAUGCAGCCUGGACUCACAAGACGGGUGCCUUUUCCUUUUUAUACCACUUGCCUGGCAUCAAUUCACAAAAGAUGUUUCAUGAACGAAUGUUAGAACAGUGGGAGUUCAAAAUAAGAGGCUGUAUACCAUCUUCGCCCCAGUGACACUUUCAACAUUCCAGGAACGAGGCUGUAUUUGUCUUCUUGGGCUUCCAGAACAAAACAGCAUAGACUGCAUGGCUUAAAUGACAGACAUUAUUUUCUCACAGUUCUGGAGGCUGGAGGUCCCAGAUCAGGGUGCUAGCAUGGUGGGGUUCUGGUGAGGGCUCUCUUUCUGGCUUACAGAUGGCUGUCUUCUUGCUUAUCCUCAAGUGGUGAAGUGGGGAAGUGGGGUAAAAGGGAGGGGAUAGAGAAAGAGAGGGAGAGAAAGCUCUCAGCUCGCUUAUAAGGACACUAACCCCAUGACAACAGCCCACUCUUACAAUCUCAUUUAGCCUUAAUUACCUCCUAAAACCCUAUGUCAAGAUACAGCCAUGUUGGGAGUUAGGACUUCAACAUAUGAAUUUGGGAGUGACACAAUUCAGUCCAUAGCAAAAGUCUUAUGACGUCUGCUCCAUUUGACACUAUUCAACUCACACACUUUCCCUCCUCAUGCCCCAACUUAGGCUUCUCAGACAACACUCCCUGGGGCUCCUUCCUGCCUUUCCAGCCUCUCCUCCAUUUCCAUCCUGGCCACCGCCACCCUCCACCUGGCCUCCCAGCUGCCUUCUCUUCUCCUGCUGCCCUCCACCCCAGACGAGCUCGUUCUAACACAUGGCUUUCUUGAUGUUGUCUCUGGUAUCAAGGAACAACAUGAAGAGCUGUAGAGUCAGACCAACCUAAGCAUGAAUCCCAGCUCUGCCACUUCCUAGCUAUGUGAUCUCGGCCACAUUAGCAUCCCCACAUCCCAGUUUCUGUGCCAGUACGGUGGGUAGAGUUCACUCCCCAUUCACCCAAUCCGGCAUUUAUUCCCUGCUGUCCACCCAAACUCCACCUUGCCACAGUCCUUGGCCUCUUGUCUCUUCCCAUUUUAUUUUUCAAAUGUUUAUUUUGUCAUCAUUUCCUUGCUUUUCUAAUCUUUAUUACAUGCAUAUACAUCCCUCAAAAUAUAUACUGUUUAGGUUUGCAUGCUUUCAACUUGAAAAAAGAAUGGUGUUGUAAAGUACACAUUGUUCCAUGAUACUGUUGAUUGGCCCGUUUGUGUCUGUUUUUAAGUCUUAUUCCCAUGUAUAAAUAUGUUGUUAUCACUGUUUAUAGGUAUAACAAGCCUUUUAACACAAAAUGGAAGUCAAUUUUACAAAGAUCUUGGUGCUUUUUCUCUACAUGCCCAUGGUAAGUCUGGCUGCCUAGGAAAACCACGGCUGCCCUAAUGACAACACCUUCCUUGAUGAGCAGCCCUGGCCUUUUCUUCAGCAUUGCCUGGGGAACGCAGUGCUGGGGACUUGGCCUCCACAGCAGCAUGCCAUGGAGUAGGAGGAACCAAAAGGUGGCGGUUGUGAGUCAGGGUUAUGGGAGGCUAUAUUAAGGGACCUUGAGAGGCCAACGUAAGGACAUCCCAGCUCUGUCUCUACAGGUCUGGGGUGGAGGGACGGGGUGCCCAAGCAGACACAGGAAGAGAGGAGGGGAUGUGAAGUAGGAAGAGGACUGCACAGGUGGAGACAGAGUGCAUCAGAGCCUGUGACCUGCGAGCCGAGGGCACCAACCCAGCUGUCUGGAUUUGGGACUGAGUUGAGGAGGCAGCACUAGGAGAAGCACGGCGCCAUCCUAUGGAGGCUUUGGGAACAUCCUCUGCACUCUGCUGCGUAGGGCAUAGGCUGGGCGGGAGGCUGGGGUGAAAGAAGGAAAGCCAUCCCGGGCAUGAGGAAGCACUCCUGCCCCGGGCAGAUACCUGCUGCUCACUAUUGAGUUCUCCCAUGUGCCAGCCACAUGCCUGCACCAACUGUCUUUUCUAUUCCUCUCAGAAAGUCUCCACAUUAACUACAGAAUUACUUUUCUUCCCACGUUAAGGAGGGAGAAACUGAGGCUGAAAGUUUUUCCAUCUGUUACUCACCGUCCCAUAACUGUCCAAGGGUAGAACUAGGAACUGAUUCUGUAGCUUGGGUUCCAAACCUGUCAUGAAGAUGCCCUGCUGGUUAUGGAAAGAGGGAUUGAUAUGUGAGAUGUCAAGGGGUGAUACAGACCAGGCUUGAUAACCGAUGGAAAAGAAAGACGGGGGAGGUGGGGCUGACCCUCAUGCCUGGGUGAACCAUCCUGUUAUUUCUCAGGAGAGGAAAAAGGCUGUAAAAAAGGAAGGUGGGGCAUUUGAGGGACUGAAGGACUUCUCUGUUAAAAUGUCUCUAAAGGGGCUGGGCGCAGUGGCUCAUGCCUGUAAUCCCAGCACCUUGGGAGGCCAAGGCAGGCUGAUCACCUGAGAUCAGCAGUUCGAGACCAGCCUGGCCAACAUGGUGAAACCCCGUCUCUACUAAAAAUACAAAAAUUAGCCAGGCAUAGUGGCGGGCGCCUGUAAUCCUAGCUACUCAGGAGGCUGAGAUAGGAGAAUUGCUUGAACCCAGGAGGCGGAUGUUGUAGUGAGCAAAGAUCGCGCCAUUACACUCCAGCCUGGGCAACAAGAGUGAAACUCCAUCUCAAGAGAAAAAAAAAUGUCUUUAAAGGAACACAAAAGGGAUUCUAGAGUUCUAGGGAGAGUCGGAGGUGAGCUAUGAAAGACUUUGAUGACUUCUCCCCCACCACUCAUGUGGUACUCACUGUUGCCAGGGAGGGCACUGGAUGCCCAGACGUGACCUUGCUGGACCCCACACUCCUAUGAGAUAGGUUUUGUCCCCCAUUCAUUCCCUCCACAGUGUGUGCUGGCCACUGCCCUGGCCAGGUGCUGCUCUGGGAUGGGGCCAUGGCAGCCGGUGAGGCAGGCCCAGCGUGUUCACCUUGUGAGGGUGAGCAGAGAGCACAGAACUUUCUGCAGAAUCAUCAGGACGGGCCCCUCUGAAGCAAUGACUGAGUGAAGGGAAGAAGCCCGCCAUGGAGGACACUGUGGUGUGGGCAAUGUCCCUGAGGCAGGCGCCAUUUUGCCGAGCCCGGGAACAGAAGGAAGCCUGUGAACGUGGAGGGAGCAGGUAAGCCCAGGUAGGGAAUAGGAUAUGUGGAGAGGCAACUGGGCUGGCUGGUGGGGUCUUUGUAGUUUGAAUUUAUUCCAGUGUGUUGGAAAGCCAUGAGAAAGUUUAUGCAACAGAGACGUGAUUGUAGAGAUACAGUAAGAGACCAGUUAGCAGACCAGUGGGUAGUCCAGGCAAAAAAUGAUAAUUGCUGAAACUAGAAUGGCAGCAUUGAAAAUGAGGAAUGUGGAUGGAUUUGGGAGGUAUUUCAGAAGUAGGUUGGGAUGGGAGUGUGAUGUUAGAAUAACAAGGUGGAAGAGCCCAGAGGAGGUUCCUUGGCUUGGGUCAUGGCAUAUAUUUAUGGUAUUAGUCUCAUCUUAUACCUCAGCAGUGAUAUUUCUAUAAGAUUUGUAACCAUAACAUAGCUACAUUUGCAUGUUACGCUUACACAUUCAUAGCAUGUAAGAAUAUUUGUAUAGUACUUGGAACAAAUCGAAUACUUCACAAUUGCAUUUUUAAGGAAUUUAAGGUAUGACAGGAAAAAACUACAAACUGUUUAUGGUGGUUACCUAACUUGAAAACUAGUUGGGGCAAAAAUUGAGUGAAUAAGGGAAAAAAAAAGACAUAAUGAAUGCUAAGUCCAAUAAAUCAUGGCUAGUGUCAGUGAUCCUGCUGAAGUUGAUUGACAGCACGCUGUCUGAGGACCCUAGAGAGAGGCUCUGAGUCAACAGCCAGAAUGGAGCUGUGCCCUGCUCUGACCAAGCCAAUCCUCUACCUGGCCAUUGUAGGAGAAUUUCUAAAGGCUAGCUUGUUACUGUAGAUCAUAUCACAGCAGGUUAAGGGGAUAUUUUAAUUUUAAAAAUCUUAACUACUGAUCAAGUUUUUCCAACCACAGAUGGUGGAGAAUAGUGAAGGUUUUCUACAGCUGUGCAUGUUAUCUCACAAGAAAAACACUGAUAAAUCCCUGCCCUUUCUGACAAAUCCCCUUUGUUUUUAGGGUCAGGGCCAGGAGUGAAGGGGUGGUGCAAUGGUGGAUAAUUCUGGCAUGACGGGAGAGCUGAUGUGGAAGGGACCUCGAGUCAUCCAAUCCAAUCCUGUCAUUUUACAUGAAAUGAAAAGGGGCUCAGACACCACUGAAAACCUUUUAUUUAGUAGAGGAUAUUUGUGGCAGAAUGCAAAAGGAAUCCAGACUUGAAUUCAUGUUAUCAACAAGUCCACACUACUACCAAAUAAAAGAGAAAUGGGAAAGAAUUAAUUCACAGAUUAUGUGAGACCUCACCUGGAUUAAUCAUUCUGGUAUUUUCUCCUUAUUUAGAAAAAAAAAAGAUUGCUUUCCCAAAAAAGUCCAUGAAUUUUCCAAGCAGCCUUAGUACAGGAACCUGCUCCAUGAAUUUUUUUAUUUAUGCAAACCCUAGAAGAAUUCNN
rnacentral:lncRNA from 1 species